rnacentral:rRNA from 1 species
UACGUAGGCAGCGAGCGUUGUUCGGAGUUACUGGGCGUAAAGGGUGUGUAGGCGGUUCUUUAAGUUUGGUGUGAAAUCUCCCGGCUCAACCGGGAGGGUGCGCCGAAUACUGAGGGACUAGAGUGCGGGAGAGGAAAGUGGAAUUCCUGGUGUAGUGGUGAAAUGCGUAGAUAUCAGGAGGAACACCGGUGGUGUAGACGGCUUUCUGGACCGUAACUGACGCUGAGACACGAAAGCGUGGGUAGCAAACAGG